CAAUACCAAUUGCAUUUUUGGAAGAUCCGAAAAAUAUACUUUGGAUGACAGCAUUAGCCAUACUUAUACUCGCCUUUACUAUUGGUGUGUGUAUAUUCUGUACAGAUUUUUGUAAAACAAAAAGAAGAAGACCACUUCCAGCGAAACGUCCAAAAACAGUAAAAAUAUUUAAUAAAAUUGCUGCAAAAGAAGCCCCAAAAAGAACAGCUGAACUAGAGGACAGCACAACUGCAUUUUCAGCUAUGCCUCAUCGUAAGCCCAGUGAUUUGUGGAAUUUUUGGUCUACUGAUGGCUGGUCAAUAUCUUCCGGAGACUCACCAGAUAAUUCUGAAAAUUUAACAACUAGUACUGAGAAUACAAAUUUGUCCUGGAACUUAAUACAAAGUUCAAAUACAGGAGAUGCAACUCUGUAUGUUUAUUUAUAUGUUUCAAUAAUUACAUCUGAAAAAACGACUAGGCAAGCAUUACGAAAAUCAUUUU